rnacentral:lncRNA from 1 species
GACACAGCCUUACUAGACUCUUCUCUUGGAUGCUGAGCAAAGCAAAUGCUGAAUGAAACAAAAGGUUGCCUGGAUGAGGAGUGGGGUAUGUAAAAGUUUAGCAACCAGCUUUCAAGUGAGUGAAGACCAACAGCAAUGGGCUCUGCAGUAGAGAUUCAUCCUCCAUUUUGACUGCACACAGUAUCUUUUGAAAACCACUCCUGUAUUUUCAUUUUCCUCACAUUAUGAGCACACCUCCUCUCUGAGAAA